rnacentral:rRNA from 1 species
CGCGGCCUAUCAGCUUGUUGGUGAGGUAACGGCUCACCAAGGCGACGACGGGUAGCCGGCCUGAGGGGGCGACCGGCCACACUGGGACUGAGACACGGCCCAGACUCCUACGGGAGGCAGCAGUGGGGAAUAUUGCACAAUGGGCGGAAGCCUGAUGCAGCGACGCCGCGUGAGGGAUGACGGCCUUCGGGUUGUAAACCUCUUUCAGCAGGGAAGAAGCGAAAGUGACGGUACCUGCAGAAGAAGCGCCGGCUAACUACGUGCCAGCAGCCGCGGUAAUACGUAGGGCGCAAGCGUUGUCCGGAAUUAUUGGGCGUAAAGAGCUCGUAGGCGGCUUGUCGCGUCGGAUGUGAAAGCCCGGGGCUUAACCCCGGGUCUGCAUUCGAUACGGGCAGGCUAGAGUUCGGUAGGGGAGAUCGGAAUUCCUGGUGUAGCGGUGAAAUGCGCAGAUAUCAGGAGGAACACCGGUGGCGAAGGCGGAUCUCUGGGCCGAUACUGACGCUGAGGAGCGAAAGCGUGGGGAGCGAACAGGAUUAGAUACCCUGGUAGUCCACGCCGUAAACGGUGGGAACUAGGUGUUGGCGACAUUCCACGUCGUCGGUGCCGCAGCUAACGCAUUAAGUUCCCCGCCUGGGGAGUACGG